GACGAACCGUGCGACCGUUGUUCGGAAUCACUGGGCAUAAAGGGCGCGUAGGCGGCCCGCGAGGUCGGGGGUGAAAUCCCACGGCUUAACCGUGGAAGGGCCUCCGAUACCGGCGGGCUGGAGGGAGGUAGGGGUGCGCGGAACUUCUGGUGGAGCGGUGAAAUGCGUUGAUAUCAGAAGGAACGCCGGCGGCGAAAGCGGCGCGCUGGACCUCUUCUGACGCUGAGGCGCGAAAGCCAGGGGAGCAAACGGG
rnacentral:rRNA from 1 species